AAGUAUGGGAGGUCCAGCCUGCCCAGUGACUACGGGUUCAACGGCCGCGGUAUUUUGACCGUGCAAAGGUAGCGCAAUCACUUGUCUUUUAAAUGAAGACCUGUAUGAAUGGCCAAACGAGGGCUUAACUGUCUCCCUUUUCAAGUCAGUGAAAUUGAUCUGCCCGUGCAGAAGCGGGCAUAUAUAUACAAGACGAGAAGACCCUUUGGAGCUUAAGGUACAAACCCACCCAUGUUAAACAACUACUUUAAAAGCACAAACCUAAUGGAAAAUGGAGUUUUACCUUCGGUUGGGGCGACCACGGAGAAAAAAAAAUCCUCCGAGCGGACUGGGACUAUAAACCUAAAACCAAGAAAGACAUUUCUAAGUCACAGAAAAUCUGACCAACUAUGAUCCGGCUACCAAAGCCGAUCAACGAACCAAGUUACCCUAGGGAUAACAGCGCAAUCCUCUCCCAGAGUCCAUAUCGACGAGAGGGUUUACGACCUCGAUGUUGGAUCAGGACAUCCUAAUGGUGCAGCCGCUAUUAAGGGUUCGUUUGUUCAACGAUUAAAGUCCUACGUGAUGUGAGUUCAGACCGGA
rnacentral:rRNA from 1 species